UACGUAGGGUGCAAGCGUUAAUCGGAAUUACUGGGCGUAAAGCGUGCGCAGGCGGCUUUGCAAGACAGAUGUGAAAUCCCCGGGCUCAACCUGGGAACUGCAUUUGUGACUGCAUGGCUGGAGUGCGGCAGAGGGGGAUGGAAUUCCGCGUGAAGCAGUGAAAUGCGUAGAUAUGCGGAGGAACACCGAUGGCGAAGGCAAUCCCCUGGGCCUGCACUGACGCUCAUGCACGAAAGCGUGGGGAGCAAACAGG
rnacentral:rRNA from 1 species